UACCCAGCGCGGCAGAAGGAAAAUCGUUAAAAUCGUAGAAGUUUACACCGCAGACGGGAAAUAAAAAAAGCCAAAAAGCAGCGCAGUCGACGCUGACAGAGCCGAGCGCAGAUAACAAUAGUUAAUAACAAUAACAAAGCGGAAUAAAAACAAAAGAGGGAAGCACAUGAAAAAAUAUUAAGUAAAACCGAAACAAACAAAAAAUCGCGCGUUUAAUUAACGGACAUUCGACGGGAGCAGCGCGGUCGACGCCGCUGUCGCAGUUGGCGUCGCAGUCACCGUCGCGCAUUGGUGUGUGUUUGUGUGAGUGUGCGUUCGUCAAAUCAAGCGGAUCACUGCAGCCAAAUAAUCAGCAAUCUGAUGUAGCAAAAGCCAUUAUAAUAUACGAAAAUGCAACCAUUCCGUUCCGCGCCGUGCUAAUGCAAACGUAUACGAUCCGAAACCGAUAAAUAUAGAAAUACAUAAACCAAAGUGAAAUUGCAAUUUUACAGGCCACUAAAAACCAAAUACACCAGUUACAUUGUCCAAGAGAGCAUCAAAGGAACUAUUUUUUAAGACAUUUGCUGGAAAGCCUUUAAGCCACCUAAAAACAGGAACAACGGUACUUCUUCAUCGAUUUUACAUCUGAAUUGCAUCGGAACCUUUGUUUAUCCAGCCAGACUUUUGUCUAAUUUAUUGAGUGCAGCCGCCGAACAAGCUUAGAUGAAGAGCCCCAACGAAAUCCCCUCCAGAUUGAAUUAACCCAGUUGAGACGAUUUAUUGCCCAAAAGAGUAUCGCAAACAGGACAGAUGCUGCAAUGCAGAAGCCAAGGGAUACGGAACGCUUGGCUUUGACAGGCUAAAGGAUUAUGUGUCCUUAGCCAGCGCUCUCUUGUUGUCUAUCCAGCUAUCUGGUUCCCGUAAGCCAGCAAUUUUUCAUAGAAAAAGAGACCGCAGGAAGCAGGGGCCUUACACCUGGCCUCCAGAAUAAACCACAAGACCGUAUAAACUCUUUCCCGACCGAAUGACUUAAUACAAUCUGACUGCUGGCAUCGAUGAAGACAAACAGAAUCGGGUGUGUAAACAAUAUUUCGGGGUACAAAUCGGUCCCGCAAGCCGGAAUCAGAAAUCUGUUUAGCUCAGAAUGUGGAUUGCUCCGAGUUCUUACACAAAUAUUUUGACAAAACGCCUGCUGUUUUCCACAUAAAUAUUUAUAUUUGCCCCGAAUGCACCACACACACACACACCAAAUACCCAUUCUCCUGGCAACCGAAACCCGAAGGAUCCAGAGUAUCUUAUCGUGGCAUCUCUACCUGCCGCAGACUUCGAACAUGGACCAGCAUCAUUGUAUCUGUAUCUGUAUCUGUAUCUCCGAAUCUGUAUCUUCAGGCAUCACACGGGCGCAUUAAUCUGUCGUGCGUACACAAAUUCCCGGCCCC